AUUCACUGGAGGCAGCCACAACUAACGAGUGGGUGUUAAUGCUUGAGACUAAACGUCUCGCCUUCAAGCUACUUUGCUGGAGGUUCCCUUGGCCAUCUCCCGCUCUCUAAUGAUCAUCCCCGGGUCUCCCUGCAAUGUGUGGGUCUGGUUGCUGCUCCCUUCUUCCUGUUUUCUUCUACAUCUCCUUCUUCCUCUGUUCCUCCUUCAACUAUUUCUUUCCAUCUUUCUCAAUCCUGGCUUCUAGAACCAUCAAUGAUCCCAGAGAGGUGCUGGAACACCCAAGUCUCCUUUACCUGUCAGAGUUUGGACCUUGGAGCAGAAUCCUGAGAGGCUGUCCAGCCGCUGAGAGCUAGAUGAAAGGGUUACGUUUUUGGUUUGCUAUUUGGGUAAUUUGUUUGUUUGUUUCUUUUUUGAGACGGAGUUUCGUUCUUGUUACCCAGGCUGGAGUGCAAUGGCGCGAUCUCGGCUCACCUCAACCUCUGCCUCCUGGGUUCAGGCAGUUCUCCUGCCUCAGCCUCCUGAGUGGCUGGGAUUACAGGCAUGCACCACCAUGCCCAGCUAAUUUUUGUAUUUUUAGUAGAGAUGGGGUUUCACCAUGUUGACCAGGAUGGUCUUGGUCUCUUGACCUUGUGAUCCACCCGCCUCGGCCUCCCAAAGUGCUGGGAUUACAGGCAUGAGCCACCGCACCCAGCCCGGUAAUUUGUUUCCUAGAAACUUUUUAGUGCUUUUAUGUGUUCUUCCUCCUCUGCAUCCUCUUUGAGGGGAGGAAAAAAAGAAAGGAAAGUACAGCUAUUGAGAAUCGUAUUUUCGUAUUUCAUUUAUUCCUUAAGACAACUUUUCCAGGUACGGUCCCUUCCUCUGUUUUACAGAUAAGAGAACUGAGGCUCGGACAGAAAGAAUGACGUUACCGAAAGUGGCUUUGCUUCUGCCUUGCCAGCCCAUUGCGCACUGCCUGCCGUGGUUCCAGCCCUCGCUGCCUCUCUUGACUAGCGUAGACCUGCCAUUGCGCCAGGCUCCCAUCGCUGCCAUGACUGGAAGAGGAGGCUGGAUGAACAGCUCACAGGAGGAACAGAAGGGUCAGAAGAUGGAUGUGGAGUUUCCCCACCCAGAAAUGUCACCACCUGGCUGUGGGCUCCAGCCUCAGUUUCUCCAUCUGUAAAGGGAGGAUUGCGCUGGGGGAUCUCAGCAGCCCCUCCUGCUCCUGCUCCAAGGUGCUGCAGAACUCUUCUCUGGACCCCCACAUGGCUUUGCCUCUCAGGCCAGCCCUUGGAAGCGAUGCUGGGUGAGGCUUGGAGGGUUUCAGGAGGAAGGGUUUCUGUGUGACCCUUCCACCCCCUGGCAUGGCUGCAAUGGCUAAAACCGAGGUGCC
rnacentral:lncRNA from 1 species